UACAGAGGUCCCGAGCGUUGUUCGGAUUCAUUGGGCGUAAAGGGUGCGUAGGCGGCGGGGCAAGUCUGAUGUGAAAUCCCACGGCUCAACCGUGGAAGUGCACCCGAAACUGCGUAGCUAGAGUCCUGGAGAGGAAGGUGGAAUGCUUGGUGUAGAGGUGAAAUUCGUAGAUAUCAAGCGGAACACCGGUGGCGAAGGCGGCCUUCUGGACAGUGAC
rnacentral:rRNA from 1 species